GGUCCGAUGGUGUAGUUGGUUAUCACGUCAGUCUAACACACUGAAGGUCUCCAGUUCGAACCUGGAUCGGAUCA
rfam:Myceliophthora thermophila ATCC 42464 chromosome 1, complete sequence.